AUAUUAGCAUGUGGACACUUUAUGUACAUCUCUGUAUAUCUCUCCCAUGCUUCAUGAAACUUUUCAUUAGGCUUCUGUGUGAAUGUCAAAAUCUUCCUAUUGUAAUU
rnacentral:snoRNA from 1 species